CAGGUGCUCCCAGGCUGGCCUCCCGGCCUGGCUCUGCCGCACCCAGCCUAGCCUCCGAGACUGGGCCUGCUGUGCCCAGCAUGUACUGCCAGCUUGGCCCAGCCGAUACUAGCCUGGCCUACCACCCUGGCCCUGAUGCUCCCAGCACUACUGCACACAGCCUGGACCGGCCACCCCCAGCCUGGCCUCCGAGAAGGGCCCUGCCGCGCCCAGCCUGGCCCCCAAGACUGGCCCUGCUGCAACCAGCGUGUACUGCCAGCCUGUUCUUGAGGCUCCCAGCCUGGCCUCCCAGCCUGGCCAUGGUGCGCCCAGCCUGCCCUCCGAGACUAUCCCUGACCGGACCAGCGUGCACUGCCAGCCUGGUCCUGAUGCUGCCAGCCUAGCCCUGCAGCGCCCUGCCGGACCUCUCAGCCUGGCCAUCCCGCUCCCCCCUAUCCCCCCCCACCUGGCCCUCCUGCUCUAUGGCUGUCCCUCCAGCCUGCCCUUUUCCCAGCCCGGCUGUUGCCCCAUCGUGGCAAUGCCGCUGCCCGGCUGUCCCCCCAGCUUGGCCCUGUCACUCCCCGCCUGUCCCCAGAGCGUGCCCCUGCCACUGCCCGGCUGUCCCCACAGCCUGGCCCUGCCACUUCCCGGCUGUCCCUGCAGCCUGGCCCUGCCGCUGCCCAGCUUCCCCCCAGCUUGGCCCUGUCGUUGACCGGCUUUCCCGCCAGCCUGGACCUUCGGCUGCCCAGCUAUCCCCGCAGCUUGGCCCUGCCGCUGCCCGGCUGUCCCCCUAGUCUGGCCUUGCUGCGCCCAGCCUGUCCCGCCAGCCAGGCCUUGGAACAACCUGCUCUCGCUCUCGAACAACCUCUGCUCCUGCCAACAGUGCACGUGGAUAUUGGAUGGUUCUAAAGACGAACUUCACAGGCUGCCUACAGGCCCUGUGGUGCUGCUGCCUGCCACCCUGUGAGCACCCCCGACACAAGGUGGCCCCAGCUAGAAAGCAAUGAGAGCAGCUCCGUGGACGUGGACGUCCUACCCAUGGCAGACCAUCCACAUGGGAGGAAGCCACGUUUCCACCAAGGAGCCACAGAGGAGUUGCUGGAAGGACGGUGAGCCCAGGUGAAGAGAGGCAGCCCUGCCUGUUCUGAGG